rnacentral:tRNA from 1 species
GUUUUAAUAAUUUAUAAACCAAAAUAUUGGUCUUGUAAACCAAAAAAAAGAAUUUUCUUUUAAAACU